rnacentral:rRNA from 1 species
AGACUCCUACGGGAGGCAGCAGUGGGGAAUUUUGGACAAUGGGCGAAAGCCUGAUCCAGCAAUGCCGCGUGUGUGAAGAAGGCCUUCGGGUUGUAAAGCACUUUUGUCCGGAAAGAAAUGGCUCUGGUUAAUACCUGGGGUCGAUGACGGUACCGGAAGAAUAAGGACCGGCUAACUACGUGCCAGCAGCCGCGGUAAUACGUAGGGUCCAAGCGUUAAUCGGAAUUACUGGGCGUAAAGCGUGCGCAGGCGGUUGUGCAAGACCGAUGUGAAAUCCCCGAGCUUAACUUGGGAAUUGCAUUGGUGACUGCACGGCUAGAGUGUGUCAGAGGGGGGUAGAAUUCCACGUGUAGCAGUGAAAUGCGUAGAGAUGUGGAGGAAUACCGAUGGCGAAGGCAGCCCCCUGGGAUAACACUGACGCUCAUGCACGAAAGCGUGGGGAGCAAACAGGAUUAGAUACCCUGGUAGUCCACGCCCUAAACGAUGUCAACUAGUUGUUGGGGAUUCAUUUCCUUAGUAACGUAGCUAACGCGUGAAGUUGACCGCCUGGGG